AACGAACGCUGGCGGCAUGCCUAACACAUGCAAGUCGAACGAUCCCUUCGGGGAUAGUGGCGCACGGGUGCGUACCGCGUGGGAACCUGCCCUUAGGUUCGGUAUCCCUCAGAGAAAUUUGAGCUCAUACCGGUUAAUGUCUUCGGACCAAAGAUUUAUCGCCUUGGGAUGGGCCCGCGUUGGAUUAGCCAGUUGGUGGGGUAAAGGCCUAUCAAGGGGACGAUCCAUAGCUGGUCUGAGAGGAGGAUUAGCCACACUGGGACUGAGACACGGCCCAGACUCCUACGGGAGGCAGCAGUGGGGAAUAUUGGACGAUGGGCGAAAGCCUGAUCCAGCAAUGCCGCGUGAGUGAUGAAGGCCGUAGGGUUGUAAAGCUCUUUUACCCGGGAUGAUAAUGACAGUACCGGGUGAAGAAGCCCCGGCUAACUCCGUG
rnacentral:rRNA from 1 species